AGGGUUUGAUCCUGGCUCAGGAUGAACGCUAGCGGCAGGCCUAACACAUGCAAGUCGAGGGGUAAGGCUCUUUCGGGAGUACACGACCGGCGCACGGGUGAGUAUCGCGUUUGCAAUCUACCUCUAACUGGAGAAUAGCCCGAAGAAAUUCGGAUUAAUACUCCAUAACAUUAUUUAGUCGCAUGACUUUAUAAUUAAAGCCCCGGCGGUUAGAGAUGAGCAUGCGUGUCAUUAGUUAGUUGGUGAGGUAACGGCUCACCAAGGCAACGAUGACUAGGGGGUCUGAGAGGAUGAUCCCCCACACUGGUACUGAGACACGGACCAGACUCCUACGGGAGGCAGCAGUGAGGAAUAUUGGGCAAUGGGCGCAAGCCUGACCCAGCCAUGCCGCGUGCAGGAUGACUGCCCUAUGGGUUGUAAACUGCUUUUAUACGGGAAGAAAGAUUUCUACGUGUAGAGAUUUGACGGUACCGUAAGAAUAAGCAUCGGCUAACUCCGUGCCAGCAGCCGCGGUAAUACGGAGGAUGCAAGCGUUAUCCGGAUUCAUUGGGUUUAAAGGGUGCGCAGGCGGAAUAUUAAGUCAGUGGUGAAAUCCUGCAGCUUAACUGUAGAACUGCCAUUGAUACUGAUAUUCUUGAAUAUAGUUGAGGUAGGCGGAAUGAGUAAUGUAGCGGUGAAAUGCUUAGAUAUUACUCAGAACACCGAUUGCGAAGGCAGCUUACUAAACUAUCAUUGACGCUGAGGCACGAAAGCGUGGGGAGCGAACAGGAUUAGAUACCCUGGUAGUCCACGCUGUAAACUAUGAUCACUCGCUGUUGGCAAUACACAGUCAGCGGCUGAGCGAAAGCAUUAAGUGAUCCACCUGGGGAGUACGGUCGCAAGAUUGAAACUCAAAGGAAUUGACGGGGGCCCGCACAAGCGGAGGAGCAUGUGGUUUAAUUCGAUGAUACGCGAGGAACCUUACCUGGGCUUAAAUGUAGUGUGCAUUCCCGUGAAAACGGGAUUUCCUUCGGGACCCACUACAAGGUGCUGCAUGGUUGUCGUCAGCUCGUGCCGUGAGGUGUCGGGUUAAGUCCCAUAACGAGCGCAACCCCUAUCUUUAGUUGCUAACAGGUCAUGCUGAGGACUCUAAAGAAACUGCCCGCGCAAGCGGUGAGGAAGGUGGGGAUGACGUCAAAUCAGCACGGCCCUUAUGUCCAGGGCUACACACGUGCUACAAUGGCAGGUACAGUGGGCAGCUAUCACGCAAGUGAAUGCUAAUCUCUAAAACCUGUCUCAGUCCGGAUUGGAGUCUGCAACCCGACUCCAUGAAGCUGGAUUCGCUAGUAAUCGCACAUCAGCCAUGGUGCGGUGAAUACGUUCCCGGGCCUUGUACACACCGCCCGUCAAGCCAUGGAAGCUGGGAGUACCUGAAGUCUGUAACCGUAAGGAGCGGCCUAGGGUAAAACCGGUGACUGGGGCUAAGUCGUAACAAGGUAGCC
rnacentral:rRNA from 1 species